rnacentral:rRNA from 1 species
UACAGAGGUGGCAAGCGUUGUUCGGAAUUACUGGGCGUAAAGGGCGCGUAGGCGGCCUUCUAAGUCAGACGUGAAAUCCCCCGGCUUAACCUGGGAACUGCGUCUGAUACUGGAGGGCUUGAGUGCGGGAGAGGGAUGUGGAAUUCCAGGUGUAGCGGUGAAAUGCGUAGAUAUCUGGAGGAACACCGGUGGCGAAGGCGGCAUCCUGGGCCAAUACUGACGCUCAUGCACGAAAGCGUGGGGAGCAAACAGG